AGUUUUAGUUUCCUUAGAAACAGUGAACUCCAGUUUUAGUUUCCUUAGAAACUGUGAACUCCAGUUUUAGUUUCCUUAGAAACAGUGAACUCCAGUUUUAGUUUCCUUAGAAACAGUGAACUCCAGUUUUAGUUAAUCUCGUCCUCUGCUGCAGCAAACUGCGAUAAAUACAAUUUUAGUUCAGAUCCAAGAAAAUAACAUCCAGCUGUAUCACGUUAUCAGCAGCAGUCAAUUGCUCAGUUUUAGUUUAUAUCUGAGCAGAUAUUCCUAAGUUGAACAUGACACAGACAUUUUCCAGCAGCAGCUUCACUUGUAGCUAGUGACAAUUUGUGGUCAUUUUAGCUUUAGUUUUUACCUCCGUAAGGAGUAGGAAGUUAUCAGCUUGUUAAUUUUUUGAGCUGUAGUUUGGAUAAAAUCUUAAUCUUCUCUAAAAGGCUUCUCUUGAUAAUAAAAUUAUGAGAAAUAAUUAUGUUAAUAUGUUGAUUACUGGUGUAUUCCUUGUUUGAGAUUAAAAAUGAGGUCCCAUUAAAAAAUCAAAAUAAUUGGACGAUUGAUCUAGAUCUGACCAUGAUUUGAAGUCUAUUUCCGUCUUAAUGCAAAGAAUUGCGAAGGGUUUUGUCUUUGUUUUAUGUAUUACAAACACACAUUGUAUAAUGUAUAGUACUAACUUACUAAAGCAUUUAUAGAAUCUAGAGUCUAACAAGUGAUCAUCUUAUUGGUGGUAUGCAGUAUCUGUCCUUAAAUAAUUGCAGAUUUACUUCUGUUCCGGUUGUCAUGACAACCACUUCUGUCCCGGUUUAGUUUCCGUUUGAUUUAUUCAUUCACGAUGAUUUUUAAAAUUCAAUUAUGUUCAUACUAAUUCUGUUGUAUUUUUCUGUGAGAUUAUUUUUGCCAUGUU